rnacentral:tRNA from 1 species
UCCUUUGGGACACAAAUGGUUAAGUGUUGGACUACUAACCUAAAGGUUGGUGGCUCAAACCCACCCAGAGGUG